AUGGACAUGACGAACCAAGAACAGCUCAUGCACACCAUCUCCCAACUCGACAGCGCCCUCACAUACCUUGCUUCUCCAUCCACAUCGCCAUCGCAGCAGCCACCGGUCCUAGCCCCGCCGUAUCCAUCGUGUGCCACCGGUGCGGUUACUCCUAAUUCGGUCACGAUGCCGGUGUUGGUGCCGCCGCCAGCCGCGGCCUACCCGGAGCACACGGCGACGCGGCGGCUUGUCGUCGGCGUCCACCCGGCCGCGGACGUGGAGAGGCCCAGGCGCCGCAACGGGCGCGUCUCGAGCGAGCCGCAGAGCGUGGCGGCGAGGCUGCGGCGGGAGCGCGUGAGCCAGCGGAUGCGCGCGCUGCAGCGGCUGGUGCCCGGCGGCGCGAGGCUGGACACGGCGUCCAUGCUGGAGGAGGCCGUCCGCUACGUCAGGUUCCUCAAGAGCCACGUCCAGGCGCUCGAGCAGGCCGCGGCCGCGUUACAUGGCCGCCGCGAGGACGUCGCCGGCGGCGAAUUCUACCAUCACUGCCCGCACUAUGCUUAA
rnacentral:rRNA from 1 species